AACUGUACAACAUUAUAUAUUAGAAUGUAAUAAAUUCAAACAACAAAGAAGACAUUCGAGGUGGAUAAUUUAUCAAUACACAGUAUAUUGAAGGAGAGAAAACAAAAAACAUAUUACAAUACAUACUGACUACUGGAAAAUGGGGAUCUAGACGAAGAUAUGGUAGAAGGGCGUUAGAGGGCGCUCAUCAUCUAUUAGAUCGCAUGCGCCAACUUCCUCUGAACAGAAAAAGCAACCGGAAAAGUAACUGCCAUUAAUACAAAUGGAGUCUGAGGAGCUGCGACCGAGAGACGCGAUGGUGAAUUUACCCAAACACUCCUAUUGGUUCGAUUUUUGGCUGUUUAUUAUUUUUAAUAUAGUACUUUUCUUCGUAGUUUAUCUGUUGUUACCUUAGCGACCAACGCCCACAGCAUAAUAAAAGUAGCACGCUCUUUCAAAUCAUUCAGUUAAGGAGGGUGUGUUCGUUUUCCGGAUUAACUUUUUAUCCUUGUCUUAAUCAGAUGAACACAAGGUGAAUAAACCGUUCUAAAAAAACAUCAGCCAGGACCCCGUGCAAAUAGUCCAACAAUGCAUUGUUCUACCAUAGAAAUUACCCCAGUGGUACAGUUGAGAUGACACUGCUACAGACUGUGCUGUGCAAAAGUCUAUGAUGUGGGAGCAUCAUGUAUAUUUUACAUCAAACUGUUUUCUGUUUAUCACUGGAUGCAGUCCAAAUCUGCGGACAAUGGAAUUCCUCGGAAAUCUCAGAAUUCGCAGGCUCACAUGGAAUAUGCAGUCUUCCACAAAUUGGCAAUAUUCUGCAGCUACAUCAUCAUAAUAACUGUCAUAAGCAGACUGCUAAAGUGCACCUGAAAUACAUAACGGUUGUUUGGUUCUAGUUUUGUUAAAUUAACUGUUUGUCCUCUUCAAAAAGUAGGCGUUAAUUGAAGACUGGAGUAGGCUUUGAAAAUGUGACCCAAUAAGAAGUCUUGUGUUCUGUGAUGUUUUUGCUAGAUGGUUUCUAAAGAUUUUACUGACAAAAAUGCUUGAGAUGUUAAAUUUGAAAUACUUAACCCAUACAUUAUUUGAUAUGAUUGUUUACCUAAUUGACAUUUUUAUAAGCCAUUAUCAAUAUAAAUACUAAAAACAUAAGAUACUGCAGCAUUCUACUUAAAAUACUGGUGUAUCAACAAGUCCCCAUGAAAAAUUAUUUUUUUGUGUUAAUUCUGUUUUGCUUAACAGUAUCUCACUUUGCAAAAAAAAUAAAUAAAAGUGGGUUGUAUAUGAAAUUAAAUCUGAUUUGAUUUUAAUAAAUAUUUCACAAUAUAUACAAAUAUAUAUUUUUCACAGUUAACUGUAACCUUGGCAUUUCUGUAAUACACUGACCCAAAUAAAAGGAAAGUGAAAAAGUCUA